CCUACGGGGGGCAGCAGUGAGGAAUAUUGGUCAAUGGACGAGAGUCUGAACCAGCCAAGUAGCGUGAAGGAUGACUGCCCUAUGGGUUGUAAACUUCUUUUAUAUGGGAAUAAAAUGUUCCACGUGUGGGAUUUUGUAUGUACCAUAUGAAUAAGGAUCGGCUAACUCCGUGCCAGCAGCCGCGGUAAUACGGAGGAUCCGAGCGUUAUCCGGAUUUAUUGGGUUUAGGGGGAGCGUAGGUGGAUUGUUAAGUCAGUUGUGAAAGUUUGCGGCUCAACCGUAAAAUUGCAGUUGAAACUGGCAGUCUUGAGUACAGUAGAGGUGGGCGGAAUUCGUGGUGUAGCGGUGAAAUGCUUAGAUAUCACGAAGAACUCCGAUUGCGAAGGCAGUUCACUGGACUGCAACUGACACUGAGGCUCGAAAGUGUGGGUAUCAAACAGGAUUAGAUACCCUGGUAGUC
rnacentral:rRNA from 1 species